ensembl:lincRNA
AAAUAGAAGAAAUAAGCCAGGGGUGGUGGCACACAUCUGUAAUCCCAGCAUUUGGGAGGCUGAGGCAAGAGGACUGCUGCAAGUUCAAGGCCAGCCUGGGCAACAUAGUGAGACCCUGUCACAAAAAAAAGAAGAAAAAGAAAAAAAGAAAAAGAAGCAAUAUAAAUCUUCUGUGACUAUGCUAAGGGAUCCUUAUAACUACAAAAAGUAAGCUGCAUGCCAAUGAUUAACUGAAGUGGAAACUGCUGCCGCCGGGAGACGGCAGCACCCGAAGGUGGGGAGGCGCCUUGCCCUGGCUCUGCGGCGGGGCUGGGCGUCUCGCUGCCCUUCCGGGGACCUGCGGGACACAGCCUCUUCGUGUCACCCUCGGGCCUCGUGGUCUGGAAAGGGCUUCUCAGAGCCAGCAGCGGGAAGGCGGCGGCGCGCGGGGAGAGGAGCCGCGUUCGACGCAGGCGCUUCCCGUGGCGGACGCCGUGUCUCCGGCUCAGUGCGAGGCCGUCUCCGGGGUCCGCGGCCAGGGCUUGGCCCCGGGUAAAAUGCGGUGACCUCGGGCAAACACGUGCUCUACGUGCUGUUUAUUUUCUUCGUUCUCACUUUGCCUUCUCCUCCUAGGCCUCCGUCACACUCCUCCUCCUCGCGCCCUCCUCCUCUCUCUUCUGCCCCUGAACUUGCCUGAUGGUGAUGAGCAUUUCUUGGGGCUCGGCCCCGGGACGCACACAGUCCAUCCUCCGCCGUGCACCGCCCGCUGAGCCCUGGAAGUGGCCGCCGGUGAGCACACGGAAACCGCGCCUUUGGAUACCGGAAGUUCUCUGAGUGAGCCUGGCAAGCAGAGACAGCCGACUGCCACAGCCAGAGAUACUCGACCUGCGGAGGGAAACUUGUUAUUCUUGGAGAGAAGGAAGAUGAAACUGUCGGUUUUUCACACCGUGGAAGCUGUGGAUAACAUCAGUGAACGAACCCAUUUGCCGUCUGUGGCUGGAAGCCCGACGUUCUGUGGAAGCUGGAAUUACUUGGGUGCGGCAGUGGUUUGGAGCCCUGCUUCGGACGUGUACUACAACUUUUCAGUCUCAGAGCCUCGGAGUGAGAAAAUUCACAGGACUUCCUCUCCGGUGCAGCUGCCACGCACUCCUUGCCAUGGCACCUUGUGGACGCCUUCCUUUGUGCCUUUCUGCGCUUCUGUCCGCGGUAUCACACCAGUGACGCUGUGCGGUGUGCCUCACCGUUUCCUGGUACUCGCCCCUGAGGAGUUGCGCUGUGAGCUGAGGACCCGCGGGCCCCCGCCGCACUCUCCUGCGCAGGUUGCUGCUGUCGAUGCAGCCGUGGAUCUCCAGGAUCUCCAGGCCGAAAGCUCUCUGCUGUCAUCGCUGCACUCGCCCUGAGCCCUGGCUUCCUCCUCUGCAAACCCUCAGCCUUAGAGUCGCUGACAGGCCCAGCACACCGCCUGUAUUUUUCUGAGUGUCUUAAAUUUCAGCCUUCCACAUUUCUCAGAAACCCCAUCCUCCAUGUAGUCUAAGUGCACGGGGGUCAUUAUAUUACUCUUUUGGAGUAAUUCUGACGUCCAAACAAAGUUGGAAGACUUUGCUUACAACUUUCCUAGUGCUAUUUUUUUUUUUUUUCUAUCUUUAGUGUAGAUGAUGCAUUUUGACAAGUCCUUGACAGUGAAAUCUGAUUUUGCUGGCCUAGAAAAUACACAAAAAUUUGUAACUUGUCAAGACUUGAAUUUCUCUAUCACUGUGCUAUCUUUCAUCUGAGACGCUUGUGCAUUAACGCCUUUAAAAACUAUAAGCUGGGAAUGAGACGCUGAUGUUGCCUGCGGAAUUUUACGCUGUUAUUUAUUUUAUUUAUUUAUUUAUUUAUUUAUUUUUUUGUUUUGUUUUUUGGUUUUUCUCCGGUACCGGGAACCGAACUCACGACCUUGCGCUUGCCAGGCAGGCGCUUU